rnacentral:rRNA from 1 species
UACGUAGGGACCAAGCGUUGUUCGGAUUUACUGGGCGUAAAGGGCGCGUAGGCGGCAAUUCAAGUCAUCUGUGAAAUCUCCGGGCUUAACUCGGAACGGUCAGAUGAUACUGCUUUGCUAGAGUGCGGAAGGGGCAAUCGGAAUUCUUGGUGUAGCGGUGAAAUGCGUAGAUAUCAAGAGGAACACCUGAGGUGAAGACGGGUUGCUGGGCCGAACACGUGACGCUGGAUAGCGCGAAAGCCAGGGGAGCAAACGGGAUU